AUUGAACGCUGGCGGCAGGCCUAACACAUGCAAGUCGAGCGGUAGAGAGGUGCUUGCAUCUCUUGAGAGCGGCGGACGGGUGAGUAAUGCCUAGGAAUCUGCCUAGUGGUGGGGGAUAACGUUCGGAAACGGACGCUAAUACCGCAUACGUCCUACGGGAGAAAGCGGGGGAUCUUCGGACCUCGCGCCAUUAGAUGAGCCUAGGUCGGAUUAGCUAGUUGGUGAGGUAAUGGCUCACCAAGGCGACGAUCCGUAACUGGUCUGAGAGGAUGAUCAGUCACACUGGAACUGAGACACGGUCCAGACUCCUACGGGAGGCAGCAGUGGGGAAUAUUGGACAAUGGGCGAAA
rnacentral:rRNA from 1 species